rnacentral:rRNA from 1 species
GACGAACGCUGGCGGCGUGCCUAACACAUGCCAGUCGAACGGAACUGUUUUGAAAGCUUUCUUCGGAAUGAAUUUGAUUUAGUUUAGUGGCGGACGGGUGAGUAACGCGUGAGUAACCUGCCUUCAAGAGGGGAAUAACAUUCUGAAAAGAAUGCUAAUACCGCAUGACAUAUCGGAACCACAUGGUUUUGAUAUCAAAGAUUUUAUCGCUUGAAGAUGGACUCGCGUCCGAUUAGUUAGUUGGUGAGGUAACGGCUCACCAAGACCGCGAUCGGUAGCCGGACUGAGAGGUUGAACGGCCACAUUGGGACUGAGACACGGCCCAGACUCCUACGGGAGGCAGCAGUGGGGGAUAUUGCGCAAUGGGGGCAACCCUGACGCAGCAACGCCGCGUGAAGGAUGAAGGUUUUCGGAUUGUAAACUUCUUUUAUUAAGGACGAAAAAUGACGGUACUUAAUGAAUAAGCGCCGGCUAACUACGUG